GACGAACGCGGCGGCGUGCCUAAUACAUGCAAGUAGAACGCUGAAGGAGGAGCUUGCUUCUCUGGAUGAGUUGCGAACGGGUGAGUAACGCGUAGGUAACCUGCCUGGUAGCGGGGGAUAACUAUUGGAAACGAUAGCUAAUACCGCAUAAUAUUGACUAUUGCAUGAUAGCCAGUUGAAAGGUGCAACUGCACCACUACCAGAUGGGCCUGCGUUGUAUUAGCUAGUUGGUGGGGUAACGGCUCACCAAGGCGACGAUACAUAGCCGACCUGAGAGGGUGAUCGGCCACACUGGGACUGAGACACGGCCCAGACUCCUACGGGAGGCAGCAGUAGGGAAUCUUCGGCAAUGGACGGAAGUCUGACCGAGCAACGCCGCGUGAGUGAAGAAGGUUUUCGGAUCGUAAAGCUCUGUUGUAAGAGAAGAAACGAGUGUGAGAGUGGAAAAGUUUCAACAACUGUG
rnacentral:rRNA from 1 species